AGAAAGGUACCUUGUGGACCAUGAGCUAAUUCUGGACUAAACUUCACAAGCCCACAGGUUUAAUUUUUAAGGAAGGAAACCUCUUCUCAACGGAUAAAGGGGAUGCUGGUGCUAUCUUACCUGACGUUUCCAGCCGUGAUGACAACAGAACACAGGUGCUUCCCCUCUCCCCAAAAGGGCUUCUCUACCACACUGGUUCACUCAGCCUUCGGUCUGAAAACAUUUGAUAUACACACAUCAAAGGGCAUGAGUUCAAGCUCCCUCAAAGCUCCAUGGGAGAUUUGCAUUCACUUCUCGCAGGAGGGGAGGUGCCCACGCAGGCAAGAAAGACGCAGCCCAGGGCUUGCAGCCGAGGGAGCCAAAAAGCAAACCAGUCCCCUUCUUCCCGCUGACCCUGAGGUGCGUCUUCAGCCUCCAAGGUGCCCAGGUAUAGCGAGAAGUGUCAGGGCGGCCAAGGUGUGGGAAGUGGGGGGGGCAGCCUCACCUACCGAAAUGUGUAGGCGAGAAGCUAAGGUUGAGGCUCUGCAGCCAGCACAGCACCAUCCGGGGCAGCUCUGUGCGUCUCGGGCUGGUGGAGUAGGACAUGAGGAGAGGCAGCUUCCCUUCGCGAGCGCCUUCUAGAACCAUAACAGCAGUUGCCACAGCAACCGCCACUGCCGCUCUGUCCGGUUUUUGUUUUUUUUUAAGAAGCACUGCCACGCAUGCCCGGGCUUCUUUAAGCAUUCGCACACGCACAACUGUGGGGCUGUUUGGAGGAAGAAGGAGCAGCCUGAAAGGGCUGCUUUCGGGCUGUUCAUUCCUCUGCCGCCGCCAGCGGCAAAGGAGGAGGAAGGAGCAGCCCAAAAGGGCUGCUUUCAGGCUGCUCAUUCCUCCUCCGCCAACAACAGCCUCUGCCACUCGCAAGUCAUCUGCACUGCACCGGAGAACAGGUAAGUGGGACCCUCACUCGAGUGUAAGCCAAGGGGGGCUUUAUCAGCAUAAAAAAUGUGCUGAAAAAGUCGGCUUAUACUCGAGUAUAUACGGUAGUUGGAUUAGUUUAUGGGCGUUUUGUGCUAUUCAGUAUUAGCACAGAUACGUUAAAUUAUAAUAAUAUGUUUCCUGAAGAUGGACUGAAUUUUGAAAAUUAAAUAGACUAUUGUGCCAUAUAGAAUUCAAGAAAAAUGGGGUUAUUCUUACAGUCUUAGUAAUGGAUAGUGAUAGUUUUUAAGCUUUAUAAUUAUCUAGAAAAUGUUUUUCAUAUUACCUCAUCCAAACCAUGCCCAAUCACUUUGACCAAACUCUUGAAAAUUAAAGCAGCAUUUGAGAUGCAAGUAAAAAAAUACUGUGCUAUGUGAAGUUUGAACAUUUCCUUCUUCAUAUAUAUUUAUUUAUUCAAUUUUAUCAACUCCAUCCCAUAAAACGAGAGAUCUCUGUGUAACAUGCAAGGCUGAAGCAAUUUGUUUAAAAAACACAGUUCUGCUAGGACAACUUAAGAAGCGGCAAAUAAGACAACUGUACAACUGAAACACUUUAGAACAGAGAUCAAAAGAUUAAAACUUUGCAGAAAUAAUCAAUUAGAAUCAAUAAUAUCCUCUGCUGCAAAGCUAAACACCACAGCAUGGUUUAAAGUUUACUGGUAAAUGCCUCUGGGAAGAAAGUGGGAGAGAAAUUCCCUAACACUGAAGAGACAUGAAACUUGACGCCAGACUUCUAGGAAGAGGACAUUCCUUAACCAAGGGGCCACUGGUGAUAAGGCCCUUUCAGGAAGAGCCAUGGAAGAAUCCAAUGAUUCCCAACAGAGUUAAAAGUUCACCACAUUUAUACAUAUAUGAUUCCAAUAAUAAGCUCUUGUAACCUUUUGAAUUGCUACGGCUAUUGAACUUCAUCCAGUCAUCUCUGAAGAACACCACAAUACUUAGUUCCAUAAAAAAAUUACAAACUGGUCAUUUUAGAACUUGAUAGAAUUGGGGAGUUAGAUAACACAUAGCAUCAGUCCAGUGCAGUUCUUAAUACAAGCUAACCCUGAACUCAUAAACAGUCAUUGUCCCUGGCUGGCAUCAAUAUGGAAGAAGGGUAGGCCUUGCUUCCACGGCUGAACCUUGUUUAUGAAGUCUGAGCUUGCACAAUGAUUUGCCUUGUUUUCAGCAAACAUAGUAGAUACAGCUCCAGAAUUCCAUUUUUAACUGUUUUGCAAUGUCUCAGUGGCACGUGCAAAGAUAAUGUUAAUUCCCCAAAUGCUUCAGGUGUUUAAAGAUUAAAGCUGAAAGCUCGUCUUAGAAAGGCAUUCCUAGACAAUGCUUUAAACAGUCUGCGCUGAUGGAUGAUUUACUAAAUGAAUCUCAAAUGUCUCCAAUGAACUCGCUUCCAUGAAUCUUUCAUUUUGAUAUUUUUGCAUUUCAAGUCACUUUCUCCUCUGCCUUAAUUCCCCCGUGUCUAAAAGAAAAAGAUUAAUGUUUAUAAAAUAUUCUAAGGUUGAAAACUGUAAUGCAUUAGAGAUAUACUACCAAUAGAUUCUGCACUCCAAAAAGUGCUUAAAGUUAUGAGACAGUGCAUCUAUCACCAUCUCAUACCUGUCUUUAACUGAUUUCCAAAUAAUAUUUUGCAAAUCACCAAUGCUGAAAGCAUCAAUAUUACCAUUUUAAGGCUGCAAUCCUCAUCAUAUUUACACACGAGUAAACACUAUUGAAUUCAGUCAGGCUUGCUCCUAGGUAAGUGACUGUUCUGGCAUUGCUGCCAUUGGUCUUUUUGGUUUAUUAGUUUGCAGCCUGAUGUUUAUUGUUUUAAUGAUUUGUGGCAAAGUACUAUGAGUACAUUGUACUCAUAGUACCAAAGGAAGACACAUACUGCAGUCUAAAUUCUGUUUGGUCAGUCAGUGUAAUAAUCUGAACAGCUGGGAUGAUAUCACGCCUGCUCUGUACAGAAAUUCAAUUAAGAGGAGAGAAACAAGAAAUCAAAGAACAUUUUCCAGGAUGUCAAACUGGAACCCUGCUGAUCUAUCCUUUCCUUCAGAAAUGCUACUUAGGAACUGAAAAGCAUUCUGAAGAAAUAAAAGUGUUUGUUUCAGCUUUGGAAAUGACCUAGCAUCGUAACAUAAUUAAAGCGGGUAAGUUAACCACAUACAAUAUACUGGCUUAUUGUGGUAAUAUUAUAACACAGACACACAUUAUAUGUUGCUUGUCCCUUUGCCCCAUUUCCCCCCAAGUCGUUAGAAACAAUCAUCAGCUGUCUCACAUCAGUCAGAUGUAAUCUGAUCAAUUUCACUUUGGAAAUGGUCCCCUGUGAGCAUCCACUGACUGGGGGAGGACAAAUCAUAGCUCCAGACAGAAAUGCUGUCAGUUUUCAAUGCUUCUGACUUUGACGCAUUCAGCUCACCUGCAUCCAGGCAUUGGUCUGAAAAUGUAUGAAGCGAAGAGCAGGGCUGUGCAUGUUAGACAUGCCCCAGUGCCCUGUCCAUGCUGGAGCCAUCCUUAACCUUUGUGCAUUGACUUCGAAGGUCUGAAGUUGAAUGCACGUAGAAGCCUGAGCUGUGCAGCUGUGGUUCCUAAUUGCAGGGUGGAUACUGGGUGCAGUCAGCUGGAUGCAAAAUGCAUUCCCUCUUCAACCUGCCCUCAAAGGUAUAACAGUCUGAGGCUGCAUUCAACAGGGCCAGCAUCUGCAGCUCUACAACACAUUUUCAGGCAAACACCUGAAUAAAGCUUUUGUCUUCAAUGAAUUGGGUGACAUUUGCCUCCCAAGCUCAGCAUGAUGUACUCAGAAAUGUCACAGAUCACUGAAUCGAAUCCCUUGAGGGCCUGGUAACUCACCCAUCUAAAUCAUAUCAUCCCAGGGGGCAAGGACAAGGCCAGGUCUCCCCUGACACAUUGUUGGAUAUGAAACAAUGUCCAACAAUUGAAGAGCCACAAGAAGGUGUCUUUGACUCCUCUGGGAUGCCUAGUGGAGGGAGAGGAUUCACCUGUUCAGAGGGCUCCAUUCCAUCACAGCAAAGGUUAUGUGCACACUGGGAGCGUUAAACAAAAGAAAGGGUAGGAGAUAAAUUGAAUAACAGCCUAUCUAGGUGCAAAUCCCUUUAAUGCAAGGGUAUGGAACCAUUUUGGCUCAGCUGAUGGGCAAUGGACUUGAAGCCAGUAUGCAAUUGAGAGCACACUUGAAGGUUUCUGAUUCCGCAUUGGCAGCUGUGAGCCCAUCUGUGACACACCUGAUGUCAUAUGGGCAUAGUUUGGGGAAAUUUGAAUUAUUGGUGGACCACGUCUGGCCCAUGGACCAAAGGUUUCCUACCCUUGCUUUAAUGCUUGGUGGAGUUGUGGUCCUUCAUUGGCCUUAAUAUAACCAGCUCUCAUUCCUUCAUUUCUAGAUAGAGGUUCAAGCCAACAUUACAAGAAGAAGAUGGCAAAUUUAUUACAUUUUCCA